ACGAAACCUGUGCGAAACCGGCUGACGUGGCACGUCAAUUGAUAUUAAAAAAAACUAAAAAAAAAAAAAAAAUAAACGGGGAGGGAAAUCAAAAAGAAGACACCCUAAGCUGAGCCGAGCGAUUUGAAGCAGAGAGAAAUCCAAAAAUGCCCAGAGCUCUGAAAAGUCUUGUCUGGAGCUCGCCGGCGUGGACAAAACCGGUUGUUGUGGUCGCCGUUCGUCACACAUUCCAAAUCUGAGUUUGCUUCUUAGUUCUUCCACUGAUUCAGUAAAGAUAGAUAGUUACUUGACGUCAGGGGUGUGCAAGUAUGGAAGAGCUUGUAGAUACUAACACACAAGGUGCAAAGCUUCAGGAACCUCUAUUCUAGAGACCUGUCCUACGAAAUUCCAAUAAGCAACAUCCAAAUUUUUUCUAGCAAUCAUGCAUCAAGCACUAACAUUAGUCACUAGCCUUUUUUUGGAUGGACAGCUGCUUUGGGUAAAAACUGCUCCAAACCUUUUUUUGGUUACCAAUUUCAAGAUGGGAUGGGACCUCCAAUUCCUCUCAUCACUACAAGCUCCACAACGAGUACAAGAGUUUGUGUAUUGGAGCUGUGUAUUGUGUAUUGGAACCAAUGGCUAUAUUAUAUUGGACAAUUAUUUGUAGUUUUGGAUAGAUAGCUUUUUAUUUGUAGUUAUUUUUGGAUGGUAUGAGACUUUUUGUGGAAAUAUGAUGUUGGUACUUGGUUCCAGGUGUUUUA